GAGUUGAUAUUUUUAUUUUGGAUCAAGCUGGAGUCUACCAGCAGCAUGAAUUUACCAAGCAUGUCACAGCGAAAGAGUCUGGCUCAAUGGUUAAAAAAGAACACUAAAAGCAACAUUGCCCUACAGAAUUUUGCUUUGGCGUGCAGCAUGAUGAAGAUGAAGGCAAAUCAAGUGAAAAUCUUUAGCAAAACAGAAGAGUGGAGACAGGAUUGUACAAAAACAAAUGAAAAAAGGCUCAGGUAGUCCCCUAGUUAUUCAGGGUACACCACUUCCAUUCAUUAACGCUUUAGUCUUUUGUACGUCCUUGUCGGUAAUACUCUGUUUACUUGAGGAGGUUCAGAAAAGGACUACACAGCAAGGAACCUCCAGAACAGUUCAUAAUGUACAUUUGCGCAGGUAUAUCAGUGCAACUGGACCGUGAUGCGGUGUCAUACAGUGCUGUUUGCAGGCAGGGGAACAACACCAUCGAAGAAAUCCCCAAAGUAGUGG
rnacentral:lncRNA from 1 species